UUUUUUUUUUUUUUUUUUUUAAAUACUAUAAACCUUUUCUUGGUUUUUUUUCCCCCGUAUUUUUUCUAUCCUCCCGUUUUCCCCCGUGUCUAUAUAAUUAUAUAACGCAUUACGUAUUAUCGCGUGUCUAUAACAAGGCCCGUUUAAAUUAUGUAAAUCGGACGAAAAUUUUACGUGUCGCCGCGUUAAAAAUUAUGUUUGUUUUUUCACUAAUUGACCGAUUAUUAAAGUAAAAAGUUGAUUCGGCAAUUUGAUCGAUUCUUCAAUUCGAGUUAAUAAUUAUUUUGGUGUUUUCGUUUUUGUAAAAAUUGUAUUGCCGUUAUAGUACAAUGGAAACGCUGAAACCUGUACAGAGUUUGUCUAUACUUUUUUUUUUUUUUUCUAUAAGAUUGAAAAACGCGGUACACGCAGUCCAAUAUCAACCCGUUAUUUUAUUGAGCUAAUAUAAAAAUAACGUCGGUGAAAACAAGAUAAAACGUUAAUAGCAAAGUUACCAGUUUUUUUAUUAUUUCUCAAAUCAAUGACUAUCGAACAAAUAUCAAACAUUUGAUGUAUCCGUUUGAGAGUUUUGACGUUUAUUCGGCCGGAAACGAACAACGAACUUUCUUCGAAAAGGAGGAAAUGCCGGAAACGAUAUAGAUUGCGAAAAUCAAUAAAUAGUUUGGUUUUUUAGCUUUUAUUAUUAUUAUUUUUUUUUUUUUAUGAAACAAACAGGACUCAUUUUGCUUCGGCCGUCCGAUAAACGAAUUUCGUUACCCAACGAUAAAAAUAACGUCGUAGAGGUAAUGAAAAUAAGGUUAGUGACGGCGAACCGAUAA